ensembl:snRNA U6 U6 spliceosomal RNA
GCACUCACUUCGGCAGCACAUACACUAAAACUGGAACGAUACAGAGAUAGCACGAUUCCUGCACAAGGAUAACAAACAAAUUCGUGAAGUGUUCCAUAUUUAA